AUGGAGCAGAAAUACCCUGUGCUGUAUAGCAUUUGUAAUAAGCAAGAGAUCACGGUGGAAAAGUUUAGAAAUGGUGUGGGGGAUGACUUCUUCCGGAGACAGCUUCAUGCAGCAUUGUUAGAUCAAUGGAAUGAACUCAAUAUCACUAUUAACUCCUGGGUGUUGUCGGAGGAACCUGAUCAAGUGAUUUGGAACCUGAGCAAGAAGAGAAAUUUUACAACCAGGUCGGUUUAUGACUAUCUGGAGAGAAACAUAGCGGGAAGUAACUAUAGGUGGAUCUGGCAGACGAAAAUCCCUUUGAAAAUUCAAAUUUUCAUGUGGCAAACCUUCUAGGAUGCUAUCUUGACUAGAGAUGUCAUGAGUAGAAGACGAUGGGCUGGCAACCCCAAAUGAUCCUUCUGUUGGAACAGAGAGACCUCAAAGCAUCUGUUUUUCACGUGUCCUGUGGCCAGGGUGCUCUGGUCCGAACAAUAUAUGGCAAUAUUUUUUGUGGUGCUAUGUUUUCCUUCCCGAUGGGGGGAAGUUUUACACAUUUGUGCUUGCAGCCGUGUGCUGGGCUAUAUGGAAUUGCCGCAACCAAGCUACCUUUGA
rnacentral:rRNA from 1 species